rnacentral:rRNA from 1 species
UACGUAGGGUGCAAGCGUUGUCCGGAAUUAUUGGGCGUAAAGAGCUCGUAGGCGGUCUGUUGCGUCCGCUGUGAAAACUCGGGGCUUAACCCCGGGUCGGCAGUGGAUACGGGCAGGCUAGAGGUAGGUAGGGGAGAAUGGAAUUCCCGGUGUAGCGGUGAAAUGCGCAGAUAUCGGGAGGAACACCGGUGGCGAAGGCGGUUCUCUGGGCCUUACCUGACGCUGAGGAGCGAAAGCGUGGGGAGCGAACAGG